UACGUAGGGUGCAAGCGUUUGUCCGGAAUUAUUGGGCGUAAAGAGCUCGUAGGCGGUUUGUCGCGUCUGCUGUGAAAACCCGAGGCUCAACCUCGGGCCUGCAGUGGGUACGGGCAGACUAGAGUGCGGUAGGGGAGAUUGGAAUUCCUGGUGUAGCGGUGGAAUGCGCAGAUAUCAGGAGGAACACCGAUGGCGAAGGCAGAUCUCUGGGCCGUAACUGACGCUGAGGAGCGAAAAGCAUGGGGGAGCGAACAGG
rnacentral:rRNA from 1 species